UACGUAGGCAGCAAGCGUUGUUCGGAGUUACUGGGCGUAAAGGGUGUGUAGGCGGUUGUUUAAGUUUGGUGUGAAAUCUCCCCGGCUCAACUGGGAGGGUGCGCCGAAUACUGAAUGACUAGAGUGCGGGAGAGGUGAGUGGAAUUCCCGGUGUAGCGGUGAAAUGCGCAGAUAUCGGGAAGAACACCCGUGGCGAAGGCGGCUCUCUGGGACGGUACUGACGCUGAGACGCGAAAGCGUGGGGGAGCGAACAGG
rnacentral:rRNA from 1 species